GAAUGUUCUCUCUCUCUCCCUGUAGGAAUGAUAGCUCUCACCAGGACUCUGGUUCUGUACCCUCAGGUCAUGGCGGAUCACCCCUUCUUCUUCAUCAUCAGAAACCGCAGGACAGGUUCUAUCCUGUUCAUGGGCAGGGUUAUGACACCAGAGGUCAUUGAGCCUACCGACUACGACAAUGACUCCAUGUAACUAUGACGACGACCAAUGGGAUUCCAGUGUGCUGCUAUCCUGCUAUGAGGUCAUAUGCUCAAAGCCAAUCAGAUCCAGGCAAAACUACGCCAUAAACGCAACCUUUCCUCUCCCCAUCGUCGGCUGUGUUUUUAUACUCUUAUCGAGAAUAUACAUGAUUCCUAUUCUAUAUUCUAUAUUCUAUAUUCUAUUUGAUAUAUAUUGAUAUAUACAUAUAAUGUGACUGUAAGCUUUAACCACGUGGUAAGAGAGAGGGAGAGAUGUAAAUAUAUAUAAAGAAAAGUAAAAUGGUUUCUAUCGUCUGUUGGAUCAGUAGACAGCCAUUAGACAUCCUGCCCCUUUAAUUUCACUAUCCUCACACACACAUGCUCUGUCGUUUCAGGUGUCUCCCAAAUCAACGCCAUUAUAUUCCUCUACAUUUACUACUGGGUUAUAUAUAAGACUAGAUAUUUAUUGCAAAAAUAAAAUAAAAAAUUGUGCAGAUUAUAUAUAUAUAUGUAUAUGUAUGUAAUCACACAGAAUCUUAGUAAUUCUAUUUCAGUCCCCCCCCCCCCCAUGCUAGAAGUACCUUGCUAAAAUACUGAUGAACUAACAUGCCUUAUGAGUUGUUGAUUUAGUGGAGGCUUUUGAAGACAGUUGAACAGGUUGUGUAAAACAGUUUGCUCUUGAGAAGAGGYGUGCAGGUGGAUUUGGAGACCAGCUAUAUUCACUCUUUUACUGAAAUAAAUAUCAUGUGUUCCAGUUA